GGCUCAGGACGAACGCUGGCGGCGUGCUUAACACAUGCAAGUCGAACGAUGAAGCCCUUCGGGGUGGAUUAGUGGCGAACGGGUGAGUAACACGUGGGCAAUCUGCCCUUCACUCUGGGACAAGCCCUGGAAACGGGGUCUAAUACCGGAUAACACUUCCCACCGCAUGGUGGGGGGUUGAAAGCUCCGGCGGUGAAGGAUGAGCCCGCGGCCUAUCAGCUUGUUGGUGGGGUGAUGGCCUACCAAGGCGACGACGGGUAGCCGGCCUGAGAGGGCGACCGGCCACACUGGGACUGAGACACGGCCCAGACUCCUACGGGAGGCAGCAGUGGGGAAUAUUGCACAAUGGGCGAAAGCCUGAUGCAGCGACGCCGCGUGAGGGAUGACGGCCUUCGGGUUGUAAACCUCUUUCAGCAGGGAAGAAGCGCAAGUGACGGUACCUGCAGAAGAAGCGCCGGCUAACUACGUGCCAGCAGCCGCGGUAAUACGUAGGGCGCAAGCGUUGUCCGGAAUUAUUGGGCGUAAAGAGCUCGUAGGCGGCUUGUCACGUCGGAUGUGAAAGCCCGGGGCUUAACCCCGGGUCUGCAUUCGAUACGGGCUAGCUAGAGUGUGGUAGGGGAGAUCGGAAUUCCUGGUGUAGCGGUGAAAUGCGCAGAUAUCAGGAGGAACACCGGUGGCGAAGGCGGAUCUCUGGGCCAUUACUGACGCUGAGAGCGAAA
rnacentral:rRNA from 2 species